rnacentral:rRNA from 1 species
GAAACCAACAGGGAUUGCCCUAGUAACGGCGAGUGAAGCGGCAACAGCUCAAAUUUGAAAUCUGGCGGCCCCCGCGGCGGCCCGAGUUGUAAUUUGUAGAGGAUGCUUUUGGCGAGGUGCCUUCCGAGUCCCCUGGAACGGGGCGCCAUAGAGGGUGAGAGCCCCGUAUAGUGGGAUGCCUAGCCUGUGUAAAGCUCCUUCGACGAGUCGAGUAGUUUGGGAAUGCUGCUCAAAAUGGGAGGUAAAUUUCCUCUAAAGCUAAAUAUUGGCCAGAGACCGAUAGCGCACAAGUAGAGUGAUCGAAAGAUGAAAAGCACUUUGAAAAGAGGGUUAAACAGCACGUGAAAUUGUUGAAAGGGAAGCGCUUGUGACCAGACUUGCGCCCGGCUGAUCAUCCGGUGUUCUCACCAGUGCACUCUGCCGGGCUCAGGCCAGCAUCGGUUCUCGCGGGGGGAUAAAGGCCUAGGGAACGUAGCUCUUCCGGGAGUGUUAUAGCCCUGGGUGUAACGCCCUCGCGGGGACCGAGGUUCGCGCAUCUGCAAGGAUGCUGGCGUAAUGGUCAUCAGCGACCCGUCUUGAAACACGGACCAAGGAGUCAAGCAGUAGGGCGAGUGUUUGGGUGUCAAACCCGCACGCGUAAUGAAAGUGAACGUAGGUGAGAGCUUCGGCGCAUCAUCGACCGAUCCUGAUGUAUUCGGAUGGAUUUGAGUAGGAGCGUUAAGCCUUGGACCCGAAAGAUGGUGAACUAUGCUUGGAUAGGGUGAAGCCAGAGGAAACUCUGGUGGAGGCUCGAAGCGGUUCUGACGUGGCAAAUCGAUCGUCAAAUCUGAGCAUGGGGGCGAAAGACUAAUCGAACCAUCUAGUAGCUGGUUACC